rnacentral:rRNA from 1 species
UACGUAGGGUGCAAGCGUUUUCCGGAAUUCUUGGGCGUAAAGAGCUCGUAGGCGGUCCGUCACGUCGGCUGUGAAAACCCGGGGCUCAACUCCGGGCCUGCAGUCGAUACGGGCGGACUAGAGUACUGCAGGGGAGACUGGAAUUCCUGGUGUAGCGGUGAAAUGCGCAGAUAUCAGGAGGAACACCGGUGGCGAAGGCGGGUCUCUGGACAGUUCCUGACGCUGAGGCACGAAGGUCAGGGGAGCAAACGGG